rnacentral:rRNA from 1 species
GACGAACGCUGGCGGCGUGCUUAACACAUGCAAGUCGAGCGGUAAGGCCCUUUCGGGGUACGACGAGCGGCGAACGGGUAGGAGUAACACGUGGGUGGACCUCGCCCUUACGCUCUGGGAGUAAAGCCUCGGGAAACGUAGGGUCGUAACAACCGGAUAUGACUCCAUGACGCAUGUUGUGGGGUGGGAAAGCCUUGUGCGGCUAGGGA